GCAAGUAUGGCCCUCACGGGUCUAAUCCACCAUAAACACCUUUGUGAACCAGUCAGGGGGACUCGGCCGUGAAAGCCCAGGCGAUUAGCGGAAGGGCCCUCCUUUGCAAACCCGUUUAGAAGUCUUGAAAGUACUUUUGUAUAAUCUAGUA
rnacentral:misc_RNA from 1 species